rnacentral:rRNA from 1 species
GACGAACGCUGGCGGCGUGCUUAACACAUGCAAGUCGAACGGUGAAGCUCCAGCUUGCUGGAGUGGAUCAGUGGCGAACGGGUGAGUAACACGUGAGCAACCUGCCCCUGACUCUGGAAUAAGCGCUGGAAACGGCGUCUAAUACUGGAUACGAGAAGGGUCCGCAUGGGCACUUUCUGGAAAGUUUUUCGGUUGGGGAUGGGCUCGCGGCCUAUCAGCUUGUUGGUGAGGUAAUGGCUCACCAAGGCGACGACGGGUAGCCGGCCUGAGAGGGCGACCGGCCACACUGGGACUGGGACACGGCCCAGACUCCUACGGGAGGCAGCAGUGGGGAAUAUUGCACAAUGGGCGAAAGCCUGAUGCAGCGACGCCGCGUGAGGGAUGACGGCCUUCGGGUUGUAAACCUCUUUCAGCAGGGAAGAAGCGAAAGUGACGGUACCUGCAGAAGAAGCACCGGCUAACUACGUG